rnacentral:rRNA from 1 species
AGCCAGCAGCCGCGGUAAUACGUAGGCAGCGAGCGUUGUUCGGAGUUACUGGGCGUAAAGGGUGUGUAGGCGGUCGUUUAAGUUUGGUGUGAAAUCUCCCGGCUCAACUGGGAGGGUGCGCCGAAUACUGAGCGGCUAGAGUGCGGGAGAGGAGAGUGGAAUUCCUGGUGUAGCGGUGAAAUGCGUAGAUAUCAGGAGGAACACCGGCGGUGUAAACGGCUCUCUGGACCGCAACUGACGCUGAGACACGAAAGCGUGGGUAGCAAACAGGAUUAGAUACCCUGGUAGUCCACGCCCUAAACGAUGCAUAUUUGGUGUGGGCAGUUCAUUCUGUCCGUGCCGGAGCUAACGCGUUAAAUAUGCCGCCUGGGGAGUACAGUCGCAAGGCUGAAACUCAAAGGAAUUGACGGGGGCCCGCACAAGU